rnacentral:rRNA from 1 species
GACAGAGGGUGCAAACGUUGCUCGGAAUUACUGGGCGUAAAGCGCGUGUAGGCGGACCUGUAAGUUGGACGUGAAAGCCCUGGGCUCAACCCAGGAAUUGCAUCCAAAACUACAGGCCUAGAGUGAUGGAGAGGGUAGCAGAAUUCCUGGUGUAGAGGUGAAAUUCGUAGAUAUCAGGAGGAACACCGGUGGCGAAGGCGGCUACCUGGACAUCCAACUGACG